rnacentral:rRNA from 1 species
GACGAACGCUGGCGGCGUGCUUAACACAUGCAAGUCGAACGGAAAGGCCCUGCUUUUGUGGGGUGCUCGAGUGGCGAACGGGUGAGUAACACGGGAGUAACCUGCCCUUGACUUUGGGAUAACUUCAGGAAACUGGGGCUAAUACCGGAUAGGAGCUCCUGCUGCAUGGUGGGGGUUGGAAAGUUUCGGCGGUUGGGGAUGGACUCGCGGCUUAUCAGCUUGUUGGUGGGGUAGUGGCUUACCAAGGCUUUGACGGGUAGCCGGCCUGAGAGGGUGACCGGCCACAUUGGGACUGAGAUACGGCCCAGACUCCUACGGGAGGCAGCAGUGGGGAAUAUUGCACAAUGGGCGGAAGCCUGAUGCAGCACCGCCGCGUGCGGGAUGACGGCCUUCGGGUUGUAAACCGCUUUCGCCUGUGACGAAGCGUGAGUGACGGUAAUGGGUAAAGAAGCACCGGCUAACUACGUG